rnacentral:piRNA from 1 species
GCUGUAGAGGGACUGGAUGCUUG